UGGGGAAUAUUGGACAAUGGGCGAAAGCCUGAUCCAGCCAUGCCGCGUGUGUGAAGAAGGUCUUCGGAUUGUAAAGCACUUUAAGUUGGGAGGAAGGGCAGUAAGCGAAUACCUUGCUGUUUUGACGUUACCGACAGAAUAAGCACCGGCUAACUCUGUGCCAGCAGCCGCGGUAAUACAGAGGGUGCAAGCGUUAAUCGGAAUUACUGGGCGUAAAGCGCGCGUAGGUGGUUCGUUAAGUUGAAUGUGAAAGCCCCGGGCUCAACCUGGGAACUGCAUCCAAAACUGGCAAGCUAGAGUAGUGCAGAGGGUGGUGGAAUUUCCUGUGUAGCGGAGAAAUGCGUCGAUAUAGGAAGGAACACCAGUUGCGAAGGCGACCACCUGGGCUCAUACUGACACUGAGGUGCGAAAGCGUGGGGAGCAAACAGG
rnacentral:rRNA from 1 species